GAGCGUGCUCGGAUUACUGGGCGUAAAGGGUGUGUAGGAGGUCGGAAAAGUCGAAUGUGAAAUCCCUCUGCCUAACGGAGGAACUGCGUUCGAAACUGUCUGGCUAGAGGUUCGGAUGGGGAAGCGGAACUCUCGGUGUAGCAGUGAAAUGCGUAGAUAUCGAGAGGAACACCGGUGGCGAAGGCGGCUUCCUGGACGAAACCUGACUCUGAAACACGAAAGCUAGGGGAGCAAACGGGAUUAGAUACCCUGGUAGUCCUUGCCGUAAACGAUGUAUACUUGGUGUAAUCGGACUCAACCCUGAUUGUGCCGUAGCUAACGCGAUAAGUAUACCGCCUGGGGAGUACAGUCGCAAGGCUGAAACUCAAAAGAAUUGACGGGGACCCGCACAAGCAGUGGAGCAUGUGGUUUAAUUCGAUGCAACGCGAAGAACCUUACCCAGGCUUGACAUGCACAGGAAUAUAGCAGAGAUGUUAUAGCUCUUCGGAGUCUGUGCACAGGUGCUGCAUGGCUGUCGUCAGCUCGUGCCGUGAGGUGUUUGGUUAAGUCCAGCAACGAGCGCAACCCUUAUCAUUAGUUGCCAACAUUUCGGAUGGGAACUCUAAUGAGACUGCCUAGGUUAACUAGGAGGAAGGUGAGGAUGACGUCAAGUCCGCAUGGCCCUUAUGUCUGGGGCUACACACGUGCUACAAUGGUCGGUACAGAAGGCAGCAAAACCGCGAGGUGAAGCAAAUCCCAAAAAGCCGGCCCCAGUUCAGAUUGUAGUCUGCAACUCGACUACAUGAAGAUGGAUUGCUAGUAAUGGCGAGUCAGCAACAUC
rnacentral:rRNA from 1 species